CAAAGGGGACUGGACGCAGAGCAUAUAAACAUAUGUACAAUCUUUUCUCCCCCGCUCUCCUCAUUUUCUUCCUGUAACCUUCCUGUCGCAAAGCUACAGACUCCGGAAAGUCCUCACCAUCUACAGAACUCCCGUGAAUCUCUCCUAAACAUUAUUGCGCCUAAAGAGGCCGAGGAUAACCAUGGAAAAUCCGACAGGGAAGAUCAGCUUUGGAAAGAACAGGAAAGGCGAUGGAGUUAGUAGCAGGAGAGGGGAUUUGCAGCGAGGAAUGGAUGAGAUUUAUUAGCGAAGGGAGAAAAUAAAGGAUCCUGCAAACCCUACGUAUUAUGACGCUGGUUUGGAGGUGGGUUUUUGUUUUUUUGCGAGGUUGGGGAGAGGAACGUGGCUCAUUUUGUGGCAUUCCUGGUGAUCUGGUCCACACGCGCCCUUUAACCUCUCAGGGUGUGGGCUUGGGGGGGGGGGAGAUCCUUCCUUCUCUGCCUUGUUAAUGCGUGGAUAUAUAAUCAUUUAGCUCAUACUGUUUCUUAUCCAGCAUCAAUAUGUUGUUCCCUUCACAUGAAACUCACACGCGCAGUUUGUGUAAAUCUGUAAUAAAUAAUAUUUUAAUGUUAAAGGGAAGUGUAUAGUAAUCAAAAUCUUUAGGGGCAGGAUGGAAUGGAAACUGAGAAGGCUUUGACAGUAAACAAUCCAGCGCUCAUUCCUCUGCCUCAUACGACUAAUAAGAGACUCCGGGUGCUUCACGACGCUACAUUUUUUAGGAAGUGGUUUGACAACAAAAGCAGCAGCAACGAAAUCCCGGAGGAGAAGCAGGUCGGGUAGCGAGGCCAGGUGGUCAAAGCUGGAACAGGUAAGGUGUAGCUGCUGUCUUAGUGGAGCCCAAAGUAGGAUCUGCAGACAAGCGUGGCAUUUAUUGUUCUCUUCCUGGUCAUCUGCUGUGUGUGCCUGUGGAAUCCUGACAAGGCAGCCCAAUAUAUUUUGCUGCCUGAGAAGAAAUAGCAAAUUGUACCUUGCCACCUUCAAGUCAAGUUACAUGGUAACCAAAUCUGGUCAAGUUAUUUGGAUACCUGAGGCAGACAAUCUCACAAGUUCCUCUACCCCACCCACAUGUGACACACUCUUUCUCCUGUUGACUUCCAGAAACCUUGCACCAGGUCUGCAGGACGUCUGAUUCGCUUCUGGAAAGCUACUAGUUACUUGCAGGUUGGCAUCCUACAUGGCUUACUCUUCUGGUGCAUUGAAAGCAACCAUUGACCACACUUCAUUAUGGCUGUGAUGUAACCAAUGAAGCAAACCAUGCAUAUUGCAUUGUAAAAGAGAAUGGAACAUGUGCAAAAUGUUGCAGUGUGAAAUGUUCCUAUUCAGAACUCUGGUCUUUCAGGCAUACUCUUCUCCAUCAUACAGCUUUCCAUUCCUGCUCUCUCCCAACUUUUUAUCCCCAUCCCAACCGUCAGCGUUCCAUGGC